rnacentral:rRNA from 1 species
CUACGGGCGGCUGCAGUGAGGAAUAUUGCACAAUGGAGGAAACUCUGAUGCAGCAACGCCGCGUGGAGGAUGACGCAUUUCGGUGUGUAAACUCCUUUUAUAUGUCAAGAAAAUGACGGUAGCAUAUGAGUAAGCUCCGGCUAACUCCGUGCCAGCAGCCGCGGUAAUACGGAGGGAGCAAGCGUUACUCGGAAUCGCUGGGCGUAAAGGACGCGUAGGCGGGAUAGAAAGUCAGGUGUGAAAUCCUAUGGCUCAACCAUAGAACUGCACUUGAAACUUCUAACCUAGAGUAUGGGAGGGGAAGAUGGAAUUAGUGGUGUAGGGGUAAAAUCCGUAGAUAUCACUAGGAAUACCAAAAGCGAAGGCGAUCUCCUGGAACAAUACUGACGCUAAGGCGUGAAAGCGUGGGGAGCAAACAGGAUUAGAUACCCGAGUAGUC